UGCAGCAACAAUAUUUUAUAAGAAAUACUGGAAAAAUGCAGGAGGAGCUCAAGCUGCACAAGAAGUUGAACUUCAGAAUCAUGAAAGUUCACAUGAAGCUGCAGCUGAAUGAAAACUCUGCAGUCCUGGAUUUCAAUAAGUGACGUUUUGGUAAAAAUAAGAAAAUUAUUUUUGACAAUUUAAUUGUCUCUUUUUUUGUGAUUAAUCUAAUAAGGAGCAAUGAGAGAAGCUACAUGGCUCACAAUAAAAAUACAGAUUUAGUAUUUUGGACAGAACAAUCCUGACGUUUCCUGUCAAAGGAACGAGCUGCACAGUGGAGCAGUGGGUAGAACUGCUGCCUCACAACAGGAAGGUUCUGGGUUUGAGUCCUGAGUCUUUAUGCAUGAAGUCAGUAUGGUUUAAUAACUGCUCUGUGUGUGUGUGGUUGUGUGUGUGUGUGUGUGUGUGUGUGUGUGUGUGUGUGUGUGUGUGUGGUGGUGUGUCCUGUGAUGAACUGCCAACCUAACACCAAAGUUUUCUUUAUAUCAUGUCAGUUUUAAACCACUAUGGUUUAAGAAGGAAAACUUAACAUGUUUUAUAUUUUUUAAAUAUUUAAAUAUCGGAAAAUCGUGAGUAAAAUAAAUUCUCAGCUCAGACUUGGUUUACAAUGUUGCAUUAAAUUCACUAAUUCAAUUUAUACACAAAACCACAAUUAACGUUUUGUUGCCACAAGGUUAAUUUAGCUGAUUUUACUCCUGUCUGUUUGAAGAGGAAAAUAAAAACUUCCACAGCGCUCCGAUGUAAAGAUGCAAAAUAAAAAUUUAUUCCACAGUUUUGCUUUAUCCUUUACAAGAGCAGCUGAAUCCUAGAAAACCUCCACAAACAUCCUUGUAAAAUCUAAUUGAAGUUUAUAUAAUUUGUUCAAUUAUAUUUUUUCCUGAAAUGUGAUUAUUUUCUCAUUAAUGUGUUUUUAAUGAGGAUUUAUUUUGUCCUAUGACUGAAGAUUUGAUGAAUGUUUUCCUUAUUUUAUAAGAAAUAAUUAACUCUGGAGGAAAGAUCUGUCACAUCAAAGAUUGUUUGAAGUUUAAAUGCAAAAGUUGGAAAUAUUUUUUUUGUUUUAUUAUCCUGUACUAGUAAUAUAAUAUGUGUCUUUUAAUAAAGUUUAUUUCUCUUCA